rfam:Erinaceus europaeus unplaced genomic scaffold scaffold00230, whole genome shotgun sequence
AAGCCAGUCAAUGAAUCUGCUUAACUAUUGUGUUUCUGCAGAUUUCUUUUUCCCAUUGGUGAUAAUAACGCUGUUACAGGUCUCAAAGACAUUGGGAUCAUUAAGAUCCCUGAAAGUGGCUAUAUGA